GACGAACGCUGGCGGCGUGCUUAACACAUGCAAGUCGAACGGUGACGCGCCUUCCUUUUUGGUGGGCGUGGAUGAGUGGCGAACGGGUGAGUAACACGUGAGUAACCUGCUCCCUUCUUCUGGAUAACCGCAUGAAAGUGUGGCUAAUACGGGAUAUUCUGGGUCUGUCGCAUGAUGGGUCUGGGAAAGCUAUUGUUUCGGUGGGGGACGGGCUCGCGGCCUAUCAGGUUGGUGGUGGGGUGAUGGCCUAACAAGGCGGUGACGAGUAGCCGGGCUGGGAGGGUGGGCCGCAACGGUGCGAAUGAACGACCGAGAAGACUACGACAGGAGGCAGUGGGGAAUAUUGGAGCACAGUGGGAACAAUGCUGAUGCAACGACGCGGCGGUGGAGAAGGAGUCCGUGGUGUUGAGAACCUCUGUCGCGAGUGAAGCACAGCUGGCUAAUAUGUCGGUGUGUUGACGGUACCUGGAGAAUAAGCGCCGGCUAACUACGUG
rnacentral:rRNA from 1 species